rnacentral:rRNA from 1 species
CGUUUCGUUCAUCCUAUUCUGAUAUUCAGGACCAAGAGGUACUAGAUUCUCUUUUGGAUAGGCCCUGAAAGGAGAAGAAAGGCUGAAAUGCCAAUGGGCCUCUGUCUAUUCUCUAAUUCACCCGAUCCGAUAGUACUCAUUUUUGGAACGUCCAGUGCCAAAGUCACUGAAUGGUAA